rnacentral:rRNA from 1 species
UACGGAGGGGGCUAGCGUUGUUCGGAAUUACUGGGCGUAAAGCGCGCGUAGGCGGACCUGCAAGUCGGGGGUGAAAGCCCGAGGCUCAACCUCGGAACUGCCUUCGAUACUGCGGGUCUCGGAGUCCGGGAGAGGUGAGUGGAACUCCGAGUGUAGAGGUGAAAUCGUAGAUUAUUCGGAAGAACACCAGUGGCGAAAGGCGG